rnacentral:tRNA from 1 species
AACGAGAACCAAACAGACGCAAGUCCCCCCCUCAACAACCUACGAAGAGCCGAGCGCGGGUCUGUAGCUCAGGCGGUUAGAGCGCACCCCUGAUAAGGGUGAGGUCGGUGGCUCGAGUCCACCCAGACCCACCAACCGUGGGGCCAUAGCUCAGCUGGGAGAGCAUCGGCUUUGCAAGCCGGGGGUCGGCGGUUCGAACCCGCCUGGCUCCACCACUGCUUUAAAUCUCUUCAUACCCUGUAGACCUAAUAAUCAUACCGGCUUGCGCGCAAGGGCAAGCGGGCUUGUUCUUUAACAACGUGGAUGGUGCAAUGUAGUGAGCGCGCACCCAACAAACGCUUGAAGGCGACUUCAAGAACGCUGGGGCGCGUGGGAAGCAACAAGCAAAACCAACCGAAUCGACCCAAAGGGGUUGGGGUUGGC